rnacentral:rRNA from 1 species
GAUGAACGCUAGCUACAGGCUUAACACAUGCAAGUCGAGGGACCGGCGUAAGGGUGAGUAACGCGUAUCCAACCUUCCCAUUACUGUGGGAUAACCUGCCGAAAGGCAGACUAAUACAGCAUAGUAAUGGAUGGGGAGGCGUGUGAUUAGCUUGUUGGCGGGGUAACGGCCCACCAAGGCGACGAUCAGUAGGGGGUCGGAGGGGAAGGGCCCCCACAUUUGAACUGAGACACGGUCCAAACGCCGACGGGGGGCAGCAGUGAGGUGUAGUGGUCAAUGGACGGAAGUCUGGACCAGCCAAGUAGCGUGCAGGAUGACGGCCUAUGGAUUGUAAACUGCUUUUGUAUGGGGAUAGUUACCAUAUGAAUAAGGACCGGCUAAUUCCGUGCCAGCAGCCGCGGUAAUAC